rnacentral:rRNA from 1 species
AUUGAACGCUGGCGGCAUGCCUUACACAUGCAAGUCGAACGGUAACAGGUCUUCGGAUGCUGACGAGUGGCGAACGGGUGAGUAAUACAUCGGAACGUGCCUAGUAGUGGGGGAUAACUACUCGAAAGAGUGGCUAAUACCGCAUGAGAUCUACGGAUGAAAGCAGGGGAUCGCAAGACCUUGUGCUACUAGAGCGGCCGAUGGCAGAUUAGGUAGUUGGUGGGAUAAAAGCUUACCAAGCCGACGAUCUGUAGCUGGUCUGAGAGGACGAUCGGCCACACUGGGACUGGGACACGGCCCAGACUGCUACUGGAGGCCGAAGUGGGGAGUUUUGGACAAGGGGCGCAAGCCUGGUCGAGCAAUGCCGCGUGCAGGAUGAAGGCCUUCGGGUUGUAAACUGCUUUUGUACGGAACGAAAAGCCCUGGGUUAAUACCCUGGGGUCAUGACGGUACCGUAAGAAUAAGCACCGGCUAACUACGUGCCAGCCGCCGCAGUAA